rnacentral:sRNA from 1 species
AUAUCUCUCUGUACGGGAAGGAUGAGAAGCUUCGACUAAGGUUCGAUUCGAGCGCAGCGAGAAAGCGUUGCCGCAGGCAACGAGCGGCCAAAGGGAGCAGACUGUAAAUCUGCCGUCAUCGACUUCGAAGGUUCGAAUCCUUCCCCCACCACCA